rnacentral:rRNA from 1 species
GACAGAGGUGGCAAGCGUUGUUCGGAAUUACUGGGCUUAAAGGGCGCGUAGGCGUCCCGGUAAGUCAGAUGUGGAAGCUUUCCGCUUAACGGGAAAAUUGCAUCUGAUACUGUCGGGAUUGAGUCAGCGAGGGGAUGGCGGAAUUCCAGGUGUAGCGGUGAAAUGCGUAGAUAUCUGGAGGAAGGCCGGUGGCGAAGGCGGCCAUCUGGCGCUGAACUGACGCUGAGGCGCGAAAGCGUGGGGAGCAAACAGGAUUAGAUACCCUGGUAGUCCACGCCCUAAACGGUGGGUACUAGGUGUAGGGCUCGCAAGGGUUCUGUGCCGUAGGGAAACCAUUAAGUACCCCGCCUGGGGAGUACGGCCGCAAGGUUGAAACUCAAAUGAAUUGACGG